rnacentral:rRNA from 1 species
UGCGCGAGUCAUUGGGACUAACGAAACCUAAAGGCGCAAUGAAAGUGAAGGUCGGCCUCGCGCUGACCGAGGGAGGAUGGGUGGCGCCUCGGCGCCGCCUCGCACUCCCGGGGCGUCUCAUUCUCAUCGCGAGAAGAGGCGCACCCAGAGCGUACACGCUGGGACCCGAAAGAUGGAGAACUAUGCCUGGUCAGGACGAAGUCAGGGGAAACCCUGAUGGAGGUCCGUAGCGAUUCUGACGUGCAAAUCGAUCGUCGGAACUGGGUAUAGCGGCGAAAGACUAAUCGAUCUAUCUAGUAGCUGGUUCCCUCCGAAGUUUCCCUCAGGAUAGCUGGCGCUCGCUUUGCGAGUCUCAUCCGGUAAAGCGAAUGAUUAGAGGCAUUGGGGUCGAAACGGCCUCAACCUAUUCUCAAACUUUAAAUGGGUGAGAUCUCCGGCUUGCUCGAACUUGAAGCCGCGAGAAUUUCACAAGGAUCAGAGUGCCAAGUGGGCCACUUUUGGUAAGCAGAACUGGCGCUGUGGGAUGAACCAAACGCCGAGUUAAAGCGCCUAAAUCGACGCUUAUGGGAUACCAUGAAAGGCGUUG